UACGAGGGGGGCGAGCGUUGUUCGGAAUUAUUGGGCGUAAAGGGUGCGUAGGCGGUUUGGUAAGUCGGAUGUGAAAUCUAUGGGCUCAACUCAUAGUCUGCAUCGGAAACUGCCGGGCUUGAGUAUGGGAGAGGUGAGUGGAAUUCCUGGUGUAGCGGUGAAAUGCGUAGAUAUCAGGAGGAACACCUGUGGCGAAAGCGGCUCACUGGACCAUAACUGACGCUGAUGCACGAAAGCUAGGGGAGCAAACAGG
rnacentral:rRNA from 1 species